rnacentral:rRNA from 1 species
CAAGUCGAACGGCAGCACGGGUGCUUGCACCUGGUGGCGAGUGGCGAACGGGUGAGUAAUGUAUCGGAACGUAUCCAAUAAUGGGGGAUAACUAAUCGAAAGGUUGGCUAAUACCGCAUACGCCCUACGGGGGAAAGCAGGGGAUCUUCGGACCUUGCGUUGAUGGAGCGGCCGAUAUCUGAUUAGCUAGUAGGUGAGGUAAAGGCUCACCUAGGCGACGAUCAGUAGCUGGUCUGAGAGGACGACCAGCCACACUGGAACUGAGACACGGUCCAGACUCCUACGGGAGGCAGCAGUGGGGAAUUUUGGACAAUGGGGGCAACCCUGAUCCAGCCAUUCCGCGUGAGUGAAGAAGGCCUUCGGGUUGUAAAGCUCUUUCGCAAGGGAAGAAACGAUACUGACGAAUAAUCAGUGUUAAUGACGGUACCUUGAUAAGAAGCACCGGCUAGCUACGUGCCAGCAGCCGCGGUAAUACGUAGGGUGCGAGCGUUAAUCGGAAUUACUGGGCGUAAAGCGUGCGCAGGCGGUUUUGAAAGUCAGAUGUGAAAUCCCCGGGCUCAACCUGGGAACUGCGUUUGAAACUCCAAAGCUAGAGUAUGGGAGAGGGGGGUAGAAUUCCACGUGUAGCAGUGAAAUGCGUAGAGAUGUGGAGGAAUACCAAUGGCGAAGGCAGCCCCCUGGCUUAAUACUGACGCUCAUGCACGAAAGCGUGGGGAGCAAACAGGAUUAGAUACCCUGGUAGUCCACGCCCUAAACGAUGUCUACUAGUUGUUGGGAGAGUAAAAUCUCUUAGUAACGCAGCUAACGCGUGAAGUAGACCGCCUGGGGAGUACGGUCGCAAGAUUAAAACUCAAAGGAAUUGACGG